CUUUUCAAAGAACCAACUUUUAGUUUUACUUACUUUUCUCAUUUUUCUAUUUCAAUUUUAUUGAUAUCUAUUCUUAUGUUUUUUAUUUCCUUCUCACUGCUUGCUUUUUGUUCUUCCAGUUUUACAUAAGGAAGUUCGGUUGAUUUGGCAUCUUUCUUCAAAUAAAAGUAUUUAAUGACAAAAUUUCCACUAAGCACUGAUUUAGCUGCAUCCUACAAAUUUAAAUAUGAUAUAUUUUUAUUUAUUUCAUAGAUUCCUGUAACUUCUCCCUCUUCCAUUAUGGCUGUUUUAUACAUUACAUCUACAUUCAUUGAAAUCCCCACCAGACAUUGUAAUCAUCCAAUGGAUUCACCUUGCCUGCUGCCUAGACAGAGCCAGUUUACCAAGACAGGGGAAUUGCAAUGCAGAAAGAGUCAUUCAUGCAGAGCUGGCUGCUCCUGAGUCCAAGCAAUCCUACUGUCUCAGCCUCCAGGGUAGCUGAGACUACAGGCAUCUGCCACCAUACCUGGCAAUAAUUUCUGUUAAAUAAAAAUGAUAGGAGGUCACUUUUUUGAACUAAGCUCUUGCUCUAGGACCCAAAAGACCAGACUAAAAAUCAAAAUGGAGUCAUCCGUGCUACAGUUCCAUGUCACCAAACCCAAACUAAAUUGUUAUUUGACCUUCAGGGAAAUCACAAGAGACAUAACAGCAACCUUCAAUCCAUAUAAUAAUGAAGUUCCUCUGCUUAAAUCCUUACACAAAACAAGUAGCCUAAGAUAUCUUACACUGUUUUCCAUAGUGGUUGUGCUAAUUUAUGUGUCCACCAGCAAUAAGAGUUCCCUUUUCUCCACAGCCUUGCCAGUUUCCCUUUUCUCCACAUCCUUGCAAGUGUCUGGGUUUUGUUUUGUUUUGUUUAUGUCUUAAUAGCCAUUUAAGUGGGGUAAGAUAAUAUCUCCUUGUGGUUUUGAUUUGCAUUUCCCUGAUGAUUUGUGAUGUUUAGCAUUUUUCCAUGUACCUGUUAGUCAUUUGUAUGCCUUCUUUUGAGAAAUAUCAUUCAUGUCUUUUUCGCACUUCUUAAGGAGAUUAUUUGGUUUUUUUACUACUGAGUUGUUUGAGUUCCUUGUACAUUCUGGAUAUUAGUCCCUUGUUGGAUAAAUAGUUUGUAAAUAUUUUCUUUCAUUCAACAGGUUCUCUUGAUUGUUUCCUUUGCUGUGCAGAAACAUUUUUAUUUAAUAUUAUCCUAUUUAUUUAUUUUUGGUUUUAUGCCUGUGCUUUCAGGGUCUUAACCAUAAAAUCUUUCCCUACACCAAUGUCCUGCAGUAUUUCUCCCAUGUUUUCUUCUAGUAGUUUCAUAGUUUCAGGUCUUGAAUUAAUCUGUAAUCCAUCUUGAGUUGAUAUUUAUAUAUGGUGAGAGACGGUUCCAGUUUCAUUCCUCUGCACAUGGAUAUACAAUUUCCCUAGCACCAUUUAUUGAAGAGGGUGUCUUUUCCAUAAUAUAUGUUCUUGGCACUUUGGUUAAAAUUCAGUUGGUUCUAAAUACAUGGAUUUAUUUCUGGGUUCUCUAUUUUGUUCCAUUGACGUAAGUGUCUGUUUUUAUACCAAUACCAUGCUAUUUUGGUUACUAUAAUCUUGUAAUAUGUUUUGAAGUCUGGUAGUGUGCUUCUAGCUUUAUUCUUUUUCUCAGGAUAGCUUUGGCUAUUCAGGUACUUUUUUGAUUGCACAUAAACGUUAAGAUUUUUAUUUCUGUGAAAAAAUAAUACUGGUAUUUUGAUAGGAAAUGCAUUGAAUCUAUAGAUUGCUUUGGUCAGUAUGAUGAUUUAAACAAUAUUAAUUCUUCCAAUCCAUGUGCAUCAGAUGUCUUGUUUGUGUCCUUUUCAAUUUCUUUCAUCAGUAUUUAGCAGGUUUUCUUAUAGAACUCUUUCACUUCCUUGGUUAAAUUUAUUCCUAGGUAUUUAUUUUAUUCUGUAGUUACUGGAAAUGAGAUUGUUUUCUUGAUUGCUUUCUUAGCUAGUUCAUAAUUAGUGUGUAAAAAUACUACUGAUUUGUAUAUGUUGAUUUUUUAACCUGUAAUUUUAGUGAAUUUUUUUUUUAUCAGAUCUCAGAGUUUUUGGGGUGGAAAAACUGAAACUUGAACUUCUUUAUGCUCCUGCAAUCCCACUACUGGGUAUUUAUUCAAAGGAAAAGAAGUCAAUAUAUCAAAGGGAUGCCUUUGCUUUUGUAUUUAUUGCAGUACUAUUCACAAUAGCAAAGACACAGAAUCAACCUACAUGUCUAUCAACAGAUAAAUGGAUAAAGAAAACAUGUUACAUGUACACAAUAGACUAUUACCAGCCAUAAAAAAUAAUGAAAUUCUGUCAUUUGCAGCAACAUGGAUGGAACUGGAGCUAAUUACGUUAAGUGAAAUACACCAGGCUCAAAAAGACAAGUAUCAAAUGUUCUCACUCAUAUAUGGGAGCUAAAACAGUUGAUCCCAAGGAUGUAGAGUAUAAUGAUAGAUACCAGAGGCAAGGAAGGCUAUGUGCUAGGAGUAAGGGAAUAACUAGAGAUUAGUUAAUGGAACAAACAUAUAUUUAGAUAAAAGGAAUAAGGUCUAAUGAUCGAUAAUGGAGUAGGGUGACUAUAGUUAACAGCUAUGUAUCAUAUAUUGCAAAAUAGCUAGAAGAGACAAUUUGAAAUGUUCUCAAAAUAUGGAAAUAACUACUCAAAAUAAUGAAGACCUGAAAUGUCUUGACUUAAUUAUUACACAUUCUGUGCAUGUAACAAAAUAUCACGUAUACCCAAUAAAUACAUACAAAUGUUAUAUAUAAUUAAAAAAAUUUAAAACAUAUUCAAAGUAGCCUGAAGUAUCCUGAUAUUAACUAAUCAGUUAUUUCUCUGUUGUUCUCUCUCCCUGUCCCAGGCUAACAACAACAAAAAAAUAGCUCUGAAAUGACUAAUGUGCUCUUUGUUCUUUGCUUCUGUUUUCUGUAGCUCUUCUCUGUCUGUAAAGCCAACCUCUUCUUCUCAGCUCAUCAGAACAUUUAUUCUGUUUUAUGGAAGGAAGUAUUACCCUAAUCUAGAAUUGCAGUGAAGCUAAUUGAAAUCUUUAAAGUUGUCGUAAUUUUAAUCUUUGAUAUUUCAAAAUCUGCAUCAUCUCAGCACUGGAAUCUGCUUAUUGUCUUUUUAAGUUGUCCCUGAGUAAACUGAAUAAUUUUGGAUUAUAUUCUGAACAGUUUACAUAUUGUGUUAUGAGACUUUGAAUCUUAUUUAAACCCUAUGCAGAAUGUUGACAUUUUGUUUAAGCAUGGAGCAUACCUGACUGGGUUCAGGAAACAAAUUUCAACCUACCUUUUCAAUUUCCAACAGUUUUGCAGGGCUAUUGGAUCUAUCCAAUGUGUACACUACCCAGUGGCCAAUUUGGCAUAAGAGCAGUCAUCUUUGGUAUGCUGAAUAGGAUCAGACCCAAUUGUGUGAUCUUGGUAAUUAAUCCUUGAUAGUUACCCCUGCUCUGCCAUGAAUGUUUAUAACUGAGCCCAUGUCCAUGGGUUCAGUCAUGAUAGAGUCAGGAGGCAGACAAAUCCAAGACAGACAGGGGCAGUUCCCAGUGGAAACCCAACCUUCAAGCCAAAGACAGUCUCGGGUAAAUCCUCAGACCAUAUUGAGAACCUCUCUUCCCAUUUGGCAUACUUUCCUCUGAUUGAUUUCCAUCCUUCACCUGUUUUAGAUAAACCUACCCUUUCCUAAUUGGUUUUCUACACUGCUGUGCCCACCUUUGAGUGGUGCCUUUGUUUUAGUUUUUUUUUUUUUGCAUACUCACAAACCUCCCCAUUCUGAGCCCAUAAAAGCCCCAGACCCAGCAACACUGAGAGAAAUACCACCCAACUUUGGAUGAAGGAUCACUCUUACAUUCCCUAUCUGCUGAGAGCUGUUUCAUUGCUCAGUAAAAUUAUUCUCCACCCUUCUCACCCUUCAAUUGUCAGAGUAACCUCAUUCUUCUUGGAUGUGGGAAAAGAACUCAGGACCCAACAAAUAGAGGUACAAAGAAGGCUAUAAUACUGUGGCCCUCUGCCCUCCACCAUCAACUCAAUUAUAUUUUCAAAGGAGUAUCUAUUUAGGAAUAGGCUACCUCUCCCUCCCCCAAACCAACAAUGAGCCAACCCAGCACCAUAUCAAAAUCUCUUGCCCUGCUGUUCUCAUGUAAGGGUACUCAUGGCAAGCAUGCCUAUAACUCCAGUGCACAAGGAGGUGUUGGCAAAUACAUACCAUGGGAAGUCUAGGCCCCUACCUAACUCUCUUAUUUACAGCACUUGGAGAGUCAGGGCUUCUCUACUCACAGUGCCAGGGUUUCUCAGUGAAUUAUAGAUCAGGCCAGUUGGCUAGAAUCUGCUUCCAGCUUCACUCCUGCCAGCCCCAUUGCCUAGGGGCUGUGUCCUGUUCUUUUUCUCUAGUUUUGGGAUAAUUCUUAGAACAACCUGGCUCUGUUUCUAACAUUCUCACUGCUCCUGUUUCAAAGCAUGCUUGUAUCCUUGUCUUUUAGAUUAGGUUCUCCUUGCUGAUAAACUGAACUGAAUCUGUUCACGUCUGUUAGUUUUGGUCUUUUGUUGAUAGGACAAUUCUCCCACUUUCUGUUUAUGAUACUUUUGUAUCUGCCCUUUUCCUUAAUGCAUUGACUAGCAUAUUAGAAAAAAUAAAAUAACAGUGACAAUAACAUGCAUCACUUUUUCCCCCUAAUUUUAAUGAGAAUAUCUGUAGAGCUUCACCUAUGGUUUGUCAUUUCUGAUAAGUUAUUAAUCCAAUGUAUUGUGUUGGAUUUUGAAAUGGAUUUGUUAUAUUAUCCUAUUCUAUCCUAAGAUUCAUCUUGAUGCAUCUUGGUAAUUCUUUCCUUUAUAUACUGUUAAAUUAUAUUUUCUGACAUUUUACUUAUGAGUUUUCAUAUGUAGACAUAUUCCCAAGGUGAUACCAAUUUAUAUUUCCCUUUAAGUCACUGUCACUUAGAUACAGGAGAGCACAGCAGGCAUUAUUUUAAGAUAAUCAUUGAUAUAGUGUACACACAAUUCUUUAUGGAAGGCUAAAUAGCUAUUGUUUCCUAUUACCCCAAAUCUAUUUAUCCUGGUUCAGUUAACACACUCCCGUUUUCCUUGGGAGACAUCUCUCUUAAUGUCUGUUGAAAGAAGCUAAUCUCCUAUCUCACCAAUUCCAGAGGGUGCCCAUCAAAAAGGUCCAGCUAAUCAGCUCACUCCCUGCAUAAAAAUGAUGUAAUUCAAGGAUGGGUACAUUAUUCAAUGGGGUGAAAUUCUAGGACUCUUACAGAAACUUUGAGAAGAGAGAAACCCAGUUUGCAAGAGAUGCCAACAGGUUAAGAUAGGGCCCUGGAGGUAUUAGGAGACCUCUAGCUAUUGAGAACAAAGAACCUAAAUAAGAAUCACAUCUAGAAAGAAAAAAGUAGCUCCAAAAGCUGGAGACAGCUCCUGAUACCACCACUGGAUUCCCUGGAUUGAGUCAGACUCACAGCCAGAUACACAUAGAUCUUUCUGUGAGAUGAGCCAGUGGAUUCCCUUUUUAAAGAAAAUUAUGAAAUAUUUUAAACAUAUACAUCUGUGGAGAAUAAUGUGAAUAACGAGUUUUAUCAAAUUUAUUAAGCAUCAAAUAUUAUGUGUUGUUAAUGUGAAGCACUAAACAUUAAAGACAGGAUCAAGACCCCCCCUGUGUGCUUCUCCCUGAUCCAAUCUAUUAUUUUCCUCUCACCCAGACACAGUUGGUGUGGUUUGGCUUUGUCCCCAUUCAAACCUCAACUUGAAUUGUAUUUCCCAGGAUUCCCACAUGUUAUAUGGAGGGACUCAGUGGGAGGUAACUGAAUCAUGUGGGCAAGUCUUUCCCAUUUUAUUCUAAUGAUAGUGAAUAAGUCUCACGAGAUCUGAUGGGUUUAUCAGGGGUUUCUGCUUUUGCUUCUCCCUCAUUUUCUCUUGCUGCCAUGAUAUAAGAAGUGCCUUUCACCUCCCACCAUGAUUCUGAGGACUCCCAGCCAUGUGGAACUGUAAGUACAAUUAAACCUUGAUUUCUUCUCAGUCUCAGGUAUGUCUUUACCAGCAGUGUGAAAUGGACUAAUACAAUAAUUAUUGUCAUAAAUUCAGUACUUGCCAUGCCCAUACAUGAUGUUAUAUUUUUACCUGCCUAUUUAUGCAUCCUCAAACUUACAUAAUUUUAAACUUUAUUAUUUUAUCCAAACAUACAAUUACUUCUACAACUUGCCUUUUUCAUCCAGGGGGUUUAACUAUGUUUUGGAUGUUUAACUAUGUUGAGAUAUGUGCUGUAGUUAAUUUAAAGUGCUGUAUUCUAUGGCCAUAAUCAAAAAAUGGUAGAUGUUGGCAUGGAUGCAGUGAACAGGGAACAUUUCUACACUGCUGGUGGGAAUGUAAACUAGUACGACCACUAUGGAAAACAGUGUGGAGAUUCCUUUAAAAACUAAAAGUAGAACUACCAUUUGAUCCAGCAAUCCCAUUACUGGGUUUCCACCCAGAGGAAAAGAAAUCAUCAUACAAAAAAGAUACUUGCAUGCACAUGUUUAUAGCAGGACAAUUUGCAAUUGUAAAAACGUGGAACCAACCCAGGUGCCCAUCAAUCAAUGAGUGGAUAAAGAAACUGUGGUGUAUAUAUGUGAUGAAAUACUACUCAGUCAUAAAAAGGAAUGAAUUAAUGGCAUUUGCAGCAACCUAGAUGAGAUUGGAAACUAUUAUUCUAAGUAAAGUAACUUGUAUGAUAAUCAAACAUCGUAUGUUCUCAUAAGCUAUGAGGAUGCAAAGGCAUAAGAAUGACUUUGGGGACUCAGGGAGGAAGAGUGGGAAGGGGGUAAGGAAUAAAAGACUACAAAGAGUGCGCAAUAUAUACUGCCUGGGUGAGGGGUGCACCAAAAUCUCACAAAUCACCCCUAAAGAACUUAUGUAACCAAACACCACCUGAUCCCCAAUUACCAAUGGACAUAAAAAAAUUAAAAAUAAAACUAAAAAUAACAAAGCUUUCUAUAUUCCACAAAGCUGUGUGUUCAUCAGUUCUUUCACUCUCUGGUAUUUCUGUAGGUGAUCAAAAUAUGCAACCCCAAAAUAUACCACUUUGGCAUAUGGAUUAUUUUGAGCCAAAAACAUUUGAGAUCUAACAGCUGCACAAAGAAUCCUUCCCAUAGCUAAAACCAGAAGCUUCCCAGAAAUGAAGAUUGCUAGCUUGGGAGGAGUUACACAAGGAAAGGAUUACAGAAGAAAGAAGGAAAUUGCAAAGUGUUUGCCAGUUCUUCAGUACUACCCAGGGGUAAACAGGUGGUCUGGCAAAGUGAUGAAUGUGUUUUCAAACAUGCAGGUGGACAGACCUCAGCAUGAGGAAGGAGCAGACAACUCUACCCUAUAAUUAAAUAGAUUCUAAUUUAGGAGAGAGCUAAAGGCUACUCCUGCUGCCGUCUUAUCCUUGGCUCCGUGAUAGAACCCAGAGGUCCUACAACAAAGUCAGUGCUGGGUCAAGGGCAAAGGAUGCUGGGAAAGCUGUGUGUAACAAGCAGCAGAGUUGUUCUAGAAUGAGGAAUGCAAAAGAAAACUGGAGAUACUGCCCUGUUAUAACCCGACCUGCAGACUCCAGAAAAGGUGCAGAAAUCCUUGACUUAUCCUGCUGGUAUUCUCCAAAUCAAAGAGUAUCUGCCCUACAGAAAUGCCUAUGGGAAAUCAUUCAUUUCCUAAAAAUGCAUUUUCAUAACAUAAUUAAUCAUCCUGGACAGAUUUUUCAAAAUUAGUCAUUAUUUGUUCUUGCCUAAUUUCACCUAUUACUCUAAUUUAAAUCAUAUUACUGUGAUUUAAUGUGCUUUUCUUCAAGAUUAUUAUUUUAAACAUUUGAAGUCAGCCUGUUCCAAAUUAGCAAUGUCAUGACCUGAAUGAAUGUACUUAUUUCCUCUUAGCUAUUCAUUCUUCCUUGAAAGGAUCUUUCAGUUCCCUCAACUUCCUCUUAUUUGAAUAUUCACCGUAAUUGUGUUCAUACAGAACAUAAGGACCUUUUUUCCCUUUCUGAGAAGGUAGCACCAUCCUUUUUCCAGUUAUAAGAAGUUUUAAUGAGGGUUUUAGUGUGUGUAUGUAGAGAGUUAAUUUUAUUUUUAUUUUUUAUUCUUAGAGGAGUUAAAAUUUGACAGCCAACUCUUAGUAUUACUAAAACUUAGACAUCUUUUUAAAAAUCAGUCUCUGUCAAUCACACACAAACAUACAUAUAUAGCUACAAAAUUGUAGCUUGUCUCUAGAACUGUGAAGGACAAAACCAAGAAUGAAGUAUUCAUAUAGCAGAGGAUGGGCCCUGAGUUCAGAAUAUGUACCUUGUAACUUCUGUAAACAAAACCCAAAAUUAUAUUGUUAUUCCUUUUUGCUACUGUACUUUGAAAAUUCAUAACUUCAAAGGCAUAGUAAAACUCUGAGUGAGCAGAUGUGACUCAUUCACUUCUCCAUAACAAGGGAGGCUUCAGCUGGGAAAACAGAAAUAUUCUGUUCUGGUAUCUUCCAUCUCUAGGCGAAAACUUUAAAAUUAUUUUGAAGUCAUUAUGAAUGUAGGAAAAUUCAGCACAGAUAAAGAAGGGUGAGGAUGUCACCGGAAAAGACAGGUAGUGCUUGAGCUCACUAGCCCUUUUGUAUGUCCAUCCAGGUCUACUUUGAACUAUACCAUCCUGACUUCUCUUCUUGUAACUAAAUGUUGAGUUUCUCAUCUUCAAUUCCUUUUCUUUAAGCAGUAAAAACUUUAUUGUUACUGGUAAUUCCUGCUUCAGUGAGCAAGUUUACUGGGACCACACAUGCCAAACCAAAAAUCAGUCUCUCUGGAUCACGUGCAAACAUACAUUUUUUAUUGUGAAAUAUUAUUCACAUAUAAAAUGUACAUGUAUAGUUUAACAAUUAGUUGAAGAAACAUAAAUUUGGUGCAACCAUCAUGUAGGUCACAUAAUGGACAUUUUCUAGCACUGCAGCAACUGACCAGUGCAGUCCUUCCCUACUCCCAACCCAUCUACCCAUUUAAGGUCAAGUUGCUAUCCCAACUUAUACGAAUCAUUUCCUGCUUUUUUUAAUAUAUAGUUUUACCAUACAUACUUUGUUUUCUAAAAAUUUUAAUAAGAUACAUCCAUAUUUUGUGCAACUUUAAUGCAUCCAAAUUCAUUGCUGUAUUAGAUUCUACUUUAUAAAAAUACCACAAUUUGUCCUUUCUGCUGAUAAUAACCACGUGCAUUGUUUGCAGUUUGGGGCAAUUUUAUCAGCACUACUGUGAACAUGCUUGUACAUGUAUCUAGGGUAUUCCUUGAAGAAAAGCUUCUGAGCCAUAGGGUGGGCAUACUUUAAACAUUACCCAUAUAGCAUUAAACCAUCUCCCAAAGCAGUGAUACCAGUUUAAACUCUUACCAUUGUACAUUUGAGUUCUUGCAGUCCCACAUUCUGGCCAACUCUUGGUAUGGUGAGGUCUCACAUUUUUUUUCAAUCAAAUGGUUUAAAGAAAGGUGCCAUGCAACUUUUCUGUCAAUACAAAAUUAUUUACCAAAAUGUCUUUGAUGGUCAGUCUCGACUACCAUUUUCAACAAGUAAGCUCCACAUACCAAAUGUUUAGAUAUUUAAAAGGUAUUCCAAGCCAAUAAACAGGGAAAUUCAAAAGUCACCUAUAUGAUGAUAUUGUAAGAGUAUCUCACUGCGAUUUUAAUUUGUGUUUCUCUGAUCACUAAUGAGAUCACUAUUGAGCCCCUUUCCUGCCUAGUGGCCAUUUAGGUUUCCCCUUUUGUGAAGUGUCUGUUCAAGGGUCUUUUGCCCAUUUUUAGCAUUCUCUAUGUUUUUUCCAUCAUAGAUGUUCUCUAAAUGUUUGAAAUACCACUCCUCUUGUCAGUUAUACAGUCAAAGAUGUCUUCUCCAAUACUUUUCCCAUAUUUUCACCUAUUUUAUGAUGUAUUUAGAAAUUUUUCAUUUCAAUGUAAAAAGUAAUGAAAUGUGGCCUAUGAUUGAACAAAGAAACGGUCUAUAAAAGCAAACCCAGAGAUGGCUCAGAUAUUGAAUUUAUCAGACAGGGACUUUAAAAUUACUGUACUAGGCCAGGCACAAUGGCUCACACCUGUAAUCCCAGCACUUUGGGAGGCCAAGGUGGGCAGAUCACAAGAUCAGGAGUUCAAGACCAACCUGGCCAAGUUGGUGAAACCCCAUCUCCAUAAAAAUAAAAAUAAAAAUGAAUAAAUAAUAACUAUAAUAAAUAAGUCAAAGGAUCUAGUUGGUAAAAAUGGACACCCAGAAUAAAACAGGUGGGCAAUAUCCACAGAGAGUUGGAAAUGAUUUCAAAAAAUUGAAAUGUAGAAAUAAUAAGUACAGUAAUAGCCAUGAGAAUCAUUCAGUGGACUUAGCAGACUGGCCAUAACAGAAGUAAAAACAGUUGGUGAGCUUAUAGACAAGUCAACUGAAAUUAUCUAAAUUAACCUAAACAGAGGUGGGGGUGGGGAAGAAGGUAAAAGAAAAACAGUCUGUAUUCUGUGGGACAAUAACAAUAGUGGCCUAACAUUGUACAUGUCUUUAGAGCUUCAGAAGGAAAAGUGAGAGAGUGGAACAUGGGAAAAAUUGGAAGCAGUAAUGAUUAAGAAAUUUCUUUUCUUUUUUCUUUUCUUUUUUUUUUUUUUUUUUUUUGAGACAGAGUCUCACUCCAUUGGCCAGGCUAAAGUGCAGUAAUGUGAUCUCAGCUCACUGCAACCUCCGCCUCCUGGGUUCAAGCAAUUCUCCUGCCUCAGCCUCCCAAGUAGCAGGGAUUAUAGGCAUGUGCCACGACAUCCAGCCUAUUUUUGUAUUUUUAGUAGAGAUAGGGUUUCACAUGUGGCCAGACUGGUCUCAAACUUCUGACCUCAAGUGAUCUGCCCGCCUAAGCCUUCCUAAGUACUGGGAUUACAGGCAUGAGCCACUGCACCCAGCCGUAUCAGGAGUUUUAGAAUCAGAAUAGACACAGAGAAGAGCAGUUACAGAGGGGCCAGCGUUGGGUCAGUGGAGAAGGGCUUGACUUUGGCCAGCUUAUAAGGGAGCUGUAUAUAGCAAAAAGAAGGCUGAAUGCCUCUUUGAGGCUGUAGGUCAAGAGAGCUCCUUGUUCUGUUCUGCAGCCAGGCUAGGUGAGUCAAAGCCUUUUUCUUUCUUUAUCCCUGUUAUUCUUGCUGCUCUCGUUUAUAAUUCACAGCACAUAUAGUCCCAGAACAUUCCCUUUGCCCCCUUCCAAUGAUAGCAUAGUGGAAAUUGUGGGAACUGUCUUCAAUUUUGCAGACGUUUCUCCCCCUUAGUUUCCAGUUUUGUUUCCAGUUUUUGUCCUUUUGUAUAUCUUCUUGGGUAAUCUAAUGGGAAAGUUGGAGAGGUCCCAUCAGGCACAUCUAGCCUGCUUUUCUUC